CUGUGAAAGCGCUGGGGUUCGCCCUCGGCUUGCACACCCCCUGUGUUAUUCAUCCGGUUGCUUCGGCGGGGCAGGGGAGACCCUCGCUACCUUGGGGCGGCGUGUCCCCGUCGAAGACCUCUCCAACUCUGGCGUUUGCAGGUUGUCCGAGCAAAUUUGAAUCAUCA
rnacentral:misc_RNA from 1 species